AUUGAACGCUGGCGGCAGGCCUAACACAUGCAAGUCGAGCGGAGCGGGGGACGGGCGAGUAAGGACUAGGUAUCUGACUGGUCGUGGGGGAUAACGUCCGGCAACAGGCGCUAAUAACGAACACUAUCAGAUGGACAUAGGUCGAAUUAGCUAGUUGGUGGGGUAAAUGCCUACCAAGGCGACGGUCCGUAGCUGGUCUGAGUGGAUGAUCAGUCACACGGGAACUGAGACACGGUCCAGACUCCUACGGGAGGCAGCAGUGGGGAAUAUUGGACAAUGGGCGAAAGCCUGAUGCAGCCAUGCCGCGUGUAUGAAGAAGGUCUUCGGAUUGUAAAGCACUUUAAGUUGGGAGGCGUUACCAGCAGAAGAAGCACCGGCUAACUUCGUGCCAGCAGCCGCGGUAAUAC
rnacentral:rRNA from 1 species